UAGGGAAUCUUCCACAAUGGACGCAAGUCUGAUGGAGCAACGCCGCGUGAGUGAAGAAGGUUUUCGGAUCGUAAAGCUCUGUUGUUGGUGAAGAAGGAUAGAGGCAGUAACUGGUCUUUAUUUGACGGUAAUCAACCAGAAAGUCACGGCUAACUACGUGCCAGCAGCCGCGGUAAUACGUAGGUGGCAAGCGUUGUCCGGAUUUAUUGGGCGUAAAGCGAGCGCAGGCGGAAUGAUAAGUCUGAUGUGAAAGCCCACGGCUCAACCGUGGAACUGCAUCGGAAACUGUCAUUCUUGAGUGCAGGAGAGGAGAGUGGAAUUCCAUGUGUAGCGGUGGAAUGCGUAGAUAUAUGGAAGAACACCAGUGGCUGAGGCGGGUCUCUGGUCUGCAACUGACGCUGAGGCUCGAAAGCAUGGGUAGCGAACAGG
rnacentral:rRNA from 1 species